UUCAGGGACCAGGUGUUUCGGCA
rnacentral:siRNA from 1 species